AUGGCGUCACAGACUCAGGUCUUCAUAUUCCUAUUGCUCUGGUUGUCCUAUUGCUCUGGUGCUGAUGGAGACAUUGUGAUGACCCAGUCUCCGAAAUCCAUGCCUGUAUCAGUAGGAGAAAGGGUCAGCUUGACCUGCAAGGCCAGUCAGAAUGUGGAUACUGAUGUAUCCUGGUACCAACAGAAACCAGGACAGUCGCCUAAACCUCUGAUCUACUGGGCAUCCAACCGGUACACUGGGGUCCCUGAUCGCUUCACAGGCAGUGGAUCUGGGACGGAUUUCACUUUCACCAUCAGCAGUGUUCAGGCUGAGGACCAGGCAGAUUAUUACUGUCUGCAGGCAAAUUGGGUGGAU